UGGAUCGAAUUUGAAAUAUUUCUUAAAGCCUACGAGAGAGUAUCAGGUGCUUCUGAUUACCCUUUUCCAUCCCAUCAUUGUACAAAUCAAUUUCUCUUCUCUUCCUUCAAUACCCCAAAGCUUAAUACCAACUUCUUCUUUCUUCUUGUUUUGGUCUUUGGGUCCCCCUACCCUACAAACCACCAAAUACUUCCUAUCUGCUAACUGUCCCUAAUGUUUUGGUCCCCUACACAGUCCUUGUUCUGUACCAUCACACUUCACUUCAAUUGGGGAGAGGGGAUUCCAAGAAAAAAGGCACUUGCACUUUGGCCUUAUUAUGCAGUUUGGUAAACUCUUACAAAGCAUUUCCAUUGUUGUAAGAUGUUAGCUAUGUUCUGGGAUGUGGGUUUUUGUUUUUUUUUUUUUUUUCAGCACAAAUGGGCAUCGGUUUUGGGGAAUAUGGUUUUUCGAAAAUCAAAUGGCGAGGUUAAGUUUCACCUGCAAAUUCUAUAUUAACCUUCAACUCAUCAUUUCUCUUCAUCAUACUUAAAGAAAUGAAAAAAAGAAACACGUGAUACUAAGAAGAUUACUAACAUUUGAUAAGAGGUAAAGGUUUUUAAAUAUUUAGAAAAAUGUAGGGAACUUUUAAAUUUGAAAUCGAUGAACUAAAAUAGUAAAUAUAUAACCUAAAAAGAAAAGUGGAAAAACAGAUUCCCAUUUGUUUUCUUGGCAGAAAGAACCACAACUUUUACCUAAGGUUUUACCCCCUGAGUCACCAUCUAAUAAUUCAGAAUUUCAUCAGUCUAACCCAAGUUGGUACCUGACUAGACAAGUUGUAGUUGUGAUGGAGCAGAUAGCUUGCAAGUGAACGUACGCUGAUUUUGGAGCAUAUGAUGAUCACUUUUCUGGGUUUUCUUGCAAGCCAAGCCCCUGAUAUUUCACAAAUAAUAUUAGUGAAAGACUGAACUUCAUCACAAACAAGUUAGUUUCUUUCAAUCAGAUUACACUGACUUCCCUCCUUUAAAUGCAAACUUGACAGCACAGAGUUUGAAUUCUUCGAAUUUGUAGGUAAAGUGAGAAACAUGGACUGAAAGUAAUACUUUCCCCAAAUAGAGUUGUCAAAGAGACUGGCUGCAGCUUUAGAUGCUACAACUAAAAAGCACAUGAUGGAGACAAAAGAAGUUUCAACUCCAAGAGGGUUUGAUCUUUUAUAUUUUACAACAUAGUGGGUCUGCAUGCAGCAUACAUGCGCCUCCAGAGAGAGCAAGACAGCCGUUGAGAAUAAACAUUUUGGAUUCUAAUAAUCUAAAAGAAGCGAUCCUGUGUGAACUAAACAGUCUCAAGUAGAGAGAGGCCUAGUGAACAUUGCGGUUAACCAAUCCUUGAAAUGACAGAAAAAGAUCUUUGUUA